rnacentral:lncRNA from 1 species
CGUUGUGUGCCAUAUAGGUUGGUUGUCCUCUUAACCAAUGAGUGUGGAGAUACUGGUAUGGCAUAUAGGUGAGAUAUAAGGAUACAUCUGCACUGAACGUGACCGACUCCGGAGCUAUUUUUGCUGUCAAGAUUUGCUCUGAUGGAAUAUGGGUAUAAAUAUCCCUCCGAUCUGAGACCGCCAUGGUGACUUGCAAGCAACUCACUGCACUUAGGCACUGGACUACCUGAAUUUCUAAUUUAGUGACGGAAGGCUGCUGGGUGUAGUCAAGUACUUGACUUGUCGGUGCGUGUGUCAAGAUGGGAUUGACCACUCCAGUUUAUGAGCUGUGUACAGUCGGGUUUUAAUUUAGCAAAACCUUGAUCAGGGUAGUCAUUGUGAGGAGUCACAGGACUGUUUGAGUUGAGCACGAUUCGGAUGAUCUAAUCAGGAUGGACAGUUUAACCCUGAGUCGUCCUAAACACAGAGGUCAAAAGGAUGAAUUAUACAGUAACCAUAUUCACGUAGGUUCUGAGUGUUGCGAUUGCGACUAUUCGACCUAUCCGAUCGUCAGGUACCAUUACUAGAUGGUCACUUCGAUUAGUACAGAAAUUGAUUCCUGUGCUACCGGCUUAGGUUCGAACCUGCGGGGUCACACACAUUAGAGGUUCCCAUAUGAUCUGAUGGC